GAGAAGAUCGUCUCGAUCAGCAGCGAGCCCGAGAAGAACGCGUGGAUAAAGGCGCUCGGGAAACCGGCGAUCACGAUCAGCAUGGCGUUACGGAAAAUGUGGCCGUAGAGCACCUGCGUCUCGCUGCACCCCUUGGCGCGCGCGGUCAUCACAUACUGCUUGCGGAUUUCAUCGAGAAACGAGUUCUUGGUCAGCAGCGUCAUGGUCGCGAAGGCGCCGAGCGCCAUCGAAACCAGCGGCAGCGUG
rnacentral:misc_RNA from 1 species